rnacentral:lncRNA from 1 species
AUGGAAAAAGCAAGAGAGUUCCAGAAAAACAUCUAUUUCUGCUUUAUUGACUAUGCCAAAGCCUUUGACUGUGUGGAUCAAAAUAAACUGUGGAAAAUUCUGAAAGAGAUGGGAAUACCAGAGCACCUGACCUGCCUCUUGAGAAACCUGUAUGCAGGUCAGGAAGCAACAGUUAGAACUGGACAGGGAACAAGAGACUGGUUCCAAAUAGGAAAAGGAGGACGUCAAGGCUUUAUAUUGUCACCCUGCUUCUUUGCAGAGUACAUCAUGAGAAACGCUGGCCUGGAAGAAGCACAAGCUGGAAUCAAGAUUGCCGGGAGAAAUAUCAAUAACCUCAGAUAUGCAGAUGAUACCACCCUUAUGGCAGAAAGUGAAGAGGAGCUAAAAAGCCUCUUGAUGACAGUGAAAGAGGAGAGUGAAAAAGUUGGCUUAAAUCUCAGCAUUCAGAAAACUAAGAUCAUGGCAUCUUGUCCCAUCAUGGGAAAUAGAUGGGGAACAGUGGAAACAGUGUCAGACUUCAUUUUGGAAGGUUCCAGAAUCACUGCAGAUGGUGAUUGCAGCCAUGAAAUUAAAAGGCACUUACUCCUUGGAAGAAAAGUUAUGAUCAACCUAGAUAGCAUAUUCAGUAGCAGAGACAUUAUAUUGCCAACAAAGGUCUGUCUAGUCAAGGCUAUGGUUUUUCCAGUGGUCAUGUAUGGACGUGAGAGUUGGACUUUGAAGAAAGCUGAGCGCCGAAGAAUUGAUGCUUUUGAACUGUGGUGUUGGAGAAUACUCUUGAGAGUGCCUUGGACUGCAAGGAGAUCCAACCAGUCCAUCCUAAAGAUCAGCCGUGGGUGUUCUUUGGAAGGAAUGAUGCUAAAGCUGAAACUCCAGUCCUUUGGCCACCUCAUGCGAAGAGUUGACUCAUUGGAAAAGACUCUGAUGUUGGGAGGGAUUGGGGGCAGGAGCAAAAGAGGACAACAGAGGAUGAGAUGGCUGGAUAGCAACACUGACUCAAUGGACAGGAGUUUGAGUGAACUCUGGGAGUUGGUGAUGGACAAGACGGCCUGGUGUGCUGUGGUUCAUGGGGUCACAACGUGUCAGACACGAGUGAGCGACUGA